GUCUUCCCCUUCGGGGGACAAAGUGACAGGUGGUGCAUGGUUGUCGUCAGCUCGUGUCGUGAGAUGUUGGGUUAAGUCCCGCAACGAGCGCAACCCUUAAGCUUAGUUGCCAGCAUUAAGUUGGGCACUCUAAGUUGACUGCCGGUGACAAACCGGAGGAAGGUGGGGAUGACGUCAAAUCAUCAUGCCCCUUAUGAUUUGGGCUACACACGUGCUACAAUGGACAAUACAAAGGGCAGCUAAACCGCGAGGUCAUGCAAAUCCCAUAAAGUUGUUCUCAGUUCGGAUUGUAGUCUGCAACCCGACUACAUGAAGCUGGAAUCGCUAGUAAUCGUAGAUCAGCAUGCUACGGUGAAUACGUUCCCGGGUCUUGUACACACCGCCCGUCACACCACGAGAGUCUGUAACACCCGAAGCCGGUGGAGUAACCAUUUAUGGAGCUAGCCGUCGAAGGUGGGACAAAUGAUUGGGGUGAAGUCGUAACAAGGUAGCCGUAUCGGAAGGU
rnacentral:rRNA from 1 species